AGCUCCAAUGGUGUAUAUUAAAGUUGUUGCAGUUAAAAAGCUCGUAGUUGGAUCUCGGCAGGUAGGGGGUGGUUCGCUGUUUAGCGUUACUGCCCCAUUUAUCUGUGUUUUUGACGGAGGUUUCAGGGUGCUCUUAACCGAGUGUCCUGAGAUGCCGUCAGGUUUACUUUGAAAAAAUUAGAGUGCUCAAAGCAGGCUUUACAAGCUUGAAUAUUCGUGCAUGGAAUAAUAGAAUAGGAUGUCGUUUCUAUUUUGUUGGUUUUUCGAAAUUGACAUAAUGAUUAAUAGGGACGGUCGGGGGCAUUAGUAUUCAGACGACAGAGGUGAAAUUCUUGGACCGUCUGAAGACUAACUACUGCGAAAGCAUUUGCCAAGAAUGUUUUCAUUAAUCAAGAACGAA
rnacentral:rRNA from 1 species